AGAGCGAACGCUGGCGGCAGGCCUAAUACAUGCAAGUCGAACGGAUCCUUCGGGAUUAGUGGCGGACGGGUGAGUAACACGUGGGAACGUGCCCUUUGGUUCAGAACAACUCAGGGAAACUUGAGCUAAUACUGGAUAAGCCCUUCGGGGGAAAGAUUUAUCGCCAUUGGAGCGGCCCGCGUCUGAUUAGCUAGUUGGUAGGGUAAAGGCCUACCAAGGCUUCGAUCAGUAGCUGGUCUGAGAGGAUGAUCAGCCACACUGGGACUGAGACACGGCCCAGACUCCUACGGGAGGCAGCAGUAGGGAAUCUUGCGCAAUGGGCGAAAGCCUGACGCAGCCAUGCCGCGUGAAUGAUGAAGGUCUUAGGAUUGUAAAAUUCUUUCAGCGGGACGAUAAUGACGGUACCGCAGAAGAAGCCCGGCUAACUUCGCGCCAGCAGCCGC
rnacentral:rRNA from 1 species